UACGUAGGGGGCAAGCGUUGUCCGGAUUUAUUGGGCGUAAAGAGCUCGUAGGUGGUUCGGUAAGUCGGAUGUGAAAUCUCCAGGCUCAACCUCGAGAUGUCGGCGGAAACCAUCUGGCUAGAGUCCGGAAGAGGAAAGUGGAAUUCCCGGUGUAGCGGUGAAAUGCGCAGAUAUCGGGAAGAACACCCGUGGCGAAGGCGGCUUUCUGGGACGGUACUGACGCUGAGACGCGAAAGCGUGGGGAGCGAACAGG
rnacentral:rRNA from 1 species